rnacentral:rRNA from 1 species
ACAUGCAGUCGAACGAAGCCUUCGGGUUUAGUGGCGCACGGGUGCGUAACGCGUGGGAAUCUGCCCCUUGGUUCGGAAUAACAGUUGGAAACGACUGCUAAUACCGGAUGAUGACGUAAGUCCAAAGAUUUAUCGCCGAGGGAUGAGCCCGCGUAGGAUUAGGUAGUUGGUGUGGUAAAGGCGCACCAAGCCGACGAUCCUUAGCUGGUCUGAGAGGAUGAUCAGCCACACUGGGACUGAGACACGGCCCAGACUCCUACGGGAGGCAGCAGUGGGGAAUAUUGGACAAUGGGCGAAAGCCUGAUCCAGCAAUGCCGCGUGAGUGAUGAAGGCCUUAGGGUUGUAAAGCUCUUUUACCCGGGAUGAUAAUGACAGUACCGGGAGAAUAAGCUCCGGCUAACUCCGUGCCAGCAGCCGCGGUAAUACGGAGGGAGCUAGCGUUAUUCGGAAUUACUGGGCGUAAAGCGCACGUAGGCGGCUUUGUAAGUAAGAGGUGAAA